CUAAGGUCCAUGGUCGAGAGGGAAAGAGCCCAGACCACCAGAUAAGGUCCCAAAAUCAUGAUUAAGUGUGAAAGGAUGUGGAAAUUCCUUAACAGCCGGGAGGUUGGCUUAGAAGCAGCCAUCCUUUAAAGAUAGCGUAACAGCUCACCGGUCUAAUAGAGUUUCUGCGCCGAAGAUGUAACGGGGCUAAAAUCAUGUACCGAAUCUGUGGCUUUGCAAAGUUUUCGAACUUUGUAAGGGGUAGCGGAACGUUCUGUAAGCCUGCGAAGGGAUACCCGUGAGGGAUCCUGGAGGUAUCAGAAGUGCGAAUGCUGACAUAAGUAACGAUAAACGAAGUGAAAAACUUCGUCGCCGAAAAUCUAAGGGUUUCUAUGCAAGGUUAAUCCGCGUAGAGUUAGUCGGCACCUAAGGCGAGGGCGAAAGCCGUAGUCGAUGGAAACAAGGUUAAUAUUCCUUGACCUGAUGGUAGUGACGGAUUUCGUAAGUUGUGAGUUCUUAAUGGAUUGAACUUGCCGCGAAGAGGUCCCAAGAAAUAGCUCCAUCAUGAAGACCGUACCCGAAACCGACACAGGUAGAUUAAUAGAGUAUAUUUAGGCGCUUGAGAGAAUGAUGUUGAAGGAACUCGGCAAAAUGCUUCCGUAACUUCGGGAUAAGGAAGACCCUUUUGUAGGCAACUAUAGAAGGGUGGCACAAGCCAGGGAGAAGCGACUGUUUAUCAAAAACACAGGGCUCUGCUAACACGUAAGUGGAUGUAUAGGGUCUGACGCCUGCCCGGUGCUGGAAGGUUAAUGCGGUUGGUGCAAGCUAACUUCUGAAGCCCCAGUAAACGGCGGCCGUAACUAUAACGGUCCUAAGGUAGCGAAAUUCCUUGUCGGGUAAGUUCCGACCUGCAUGAAUGGCGUAACGAUUUCUCCGCUGUCUCCAACAUCAACUCAGUGAAAUUGAAUUCUCCGUGAAGAUGCGGAGUUCGCGUGGUUAGACGGAAAGACCCCGUGCACCUUUACUGCAACUUUACAUUGGUAUUAGAAAUGACUUGUUUAGAAUAGGAGGGAGACUUUGAUGUGGUGGCGCUAGCUAUCGCGGAGUCA
rnacentral:rRNA from 1 species